rnacentral:tRNA from 1 species
GAAUCAUUAGCUCAGCAGGUAGAGCACAUCCCUUUUAAGGAUGGGGUCCUGGGUUCGAGCCCCAGAUGGUUCA